rnacentral:tRNA from 1 species
UACGGGUGUGGCGGAAUUGGCAGACGCGCUAGAUUUAGGUUCUAGUGUCCGAAGGACGUAUGGGUUCAAGUCCCUUCACCCGUAU